GUGGGCGUAGCUCAGCAGGUUAGAGCAUCGGAUUGUGGUUCCGAGGGUCGAGGGUUCAAAUCCCUUCGUCCACCCCA
rnacentral:tRNA from 1 species